ACGGGUGUCCGUUGCAAGGGACUCCGAAGAGCUGUGGCAAGGGGUGAAAAGCCAAUCUAACCUGGAGAUAGCUGGUCUUCUGCGAAACCCGUUUUAGCGGGUCGCCCAUUUAUUGAAAUUAAAUUCGUUACUAGACGGUACGGCACUGGAAGCCACGCAGCUUUUGCUGCAUAAUCGGGGGGCUGUCAUGGCUCUAUCGAUGGCUUCUAACCCCGGAAAUGUAUAGUAUACAAUGAUGGGCAAUCAGACGUAUCGUGAUAAGGCGAUUCGUCAAAAGGGCAACAGCCCAGAACAGGUGUGAAGGUCCCUAACAAGCUACUGAGUGAACACAAGGCAGUCCUCUCCAGUGUCUCUCCACAAAGUGGGCUUGGAAGCAGCCACCUUUUAGCGAUAGCGUAACAGCUCAGUGGUCUGAGCCUCCCUGUAAAAAGGGAAUAUUGCCUGGUGAGGGCGCCAAAAAUGUAACGGGUCUAUAGUAGUUGUCUCUCUGUUCCAGCUUUGGAUAUGGAGGGAGUGGCAGUUUCUUCACUGUCUCACCGAAACCCUGUCCUAGAUGUAAAAUUCUAGGGGUAGCAGAAUACCCAGCAAAUGGAAUGAAGCUUGCUCAUUGAGCCGGUGGACAUAGCUGGGCUAAGAAUGCUGACAUGAGUAGCCUAAAAGGAGGGUAAUUCCCUCUUCGCCGAAAGCAGAAGGGUUUCAUUUGUAAGGUCUAUACCUAGAUGAUUAAAGCAGCGGCCUCUAAGGUUCAGAGUAACAAAUUAGUUCCGAUGAGUAACUCUUCUAUAGGGCAGUAACCUUCCUUAUAAGGUUACCUUCAAGUAAUUAGAGGUAUACUUCAAAGAGUAAGGUUCGGGAAAGAGCCCUACAGAAUCAAUCUUAAAACCGUACCCUAAACCGACACAGGUCUGCAAGUAGAGCAUACUAAGGCGUAGAGAUAAUCGUCUUGAAGGAACUCGGCAAAAUGACCCUGUAACUUCGGGAGAAGGGGUGCCACUAAUAAGUGGCGGCACUAAACAGGGGGGCGC
rnacentral:rRNA from 1 species